UUUUGUUUUUUUGCUUGGCUGAGCCUGUGGUAUGGGGAAGUUCCUGGGCCAGGGAUCAAACCUCUACCAUAGCAGUGACCUGGGCUGCUCCUGUGACAAUGCUAGAUCCUUAACCCACUGAGCUAGCAGGGAACUCCCAGAAACAGGAACUUAGAUAAGGGACAAACACUUCACAAAAUGUCGUACUGCCAGCUGCUUUGUUUUAAUGUCCAGUUAGGGUGCACUGACCUGCUUGUCUUUCUCCACUCUCCCUGGGCAGUCUGUGUUCCCCGCCUUCCCACACCUUCCAAACAGGAAGAUCUGUAGAUACUGACAUAGUCAGCCAACCCUCAUCUCACGUCUACAGUGUGAAGGUUUUCCUUUGUUUCUCCUCCUUGCCUGGUUGCUGUACUGUGACGUCCUAAAAGAAAACCACGCUACUUCAGGGACAGAGAGGAAGGAAACGCAGCUCCUGAACACCUCGUGUGGAGCCAGUGGCUUUUCUGCAAGAGAAAAGCUAAGCCUCGGGCUCUUUCUUGACUCUUGGGAUGGAAAAAGGAAGUGGCCACACAAUCAAAACCAAAAAAAAAACCAGCCAAAGAAACAAACAAUAAAAGGGAGUUCCCGUUGUGGCUCAGUGGAAACAAAUCUGACUAGUAACCAUGAGGACCCAGGUUCAAUCCCUGGUAUCGCUCAAUGGGUUAAGGAUCUGGUGUUGCCAUGAGCUGUAGUGCAGGUUGCAGACUUCGGUCAGAUCUGGCAUUGCUGUGGCAUAGGGCAGAAUUACAUGGUCUCCCAGACACUUAGCUUUUAUCUCAACCCUCAAUAGUCUGAAUGCAUCUCAAUAGUCUGUGACGCAAAUGCAAAAUUCUAUGCAAACGUGAGCUAUUAUUAUCACUGUUCUUGUUGUCUGCGAAGGUCUGGUCUGGCUACCUCUCAGAAUUGCAGGGAUUCAUGGGGAAGAGUUAAUCACCCGAGGCUCUCCUCCAAGAAGAGAGGACAACUGUUCCUCCUUUUGAGAAAAACUUCACGUUUCUGCUGGCUCAUCAAAGACAAUGAACACAACCUACAGCCUUUCCCAUAAAGAAUACUGGCGUUUUUAUGAUUUUUAAAAAUCAUGAUGACAUAAUUAAAAAUCAAACAACAACCAGCUGUCAAAAGUAUGCAUUUCCCAACACAACCACAACGUCUUCAGGAAGAUGGCAUUCCUGGGACCAUGACCAUGGAGUCUCUUGAGUGAGUGCUUUAUGGAAUGUGAACGACUCUGACUGUGCUGAGAUGAGCUGUUUUGAUAGACAGAAACCAAAGCUAUCUUCCUUUCAGCAACAUCUACCUUUGUUUUCUAGUUUACAGCAGCUUUUCUCUUUUCAAAGCUUAUCAUUUCAGACUACAGACAAUGGAUACAGCUUAUUGUAUUCUCUGAAAUCUGUUAUUUUAUUUUAUUUUUGGGCCAUGCCCACGGCAUGAAGAAGGAAGGUCCCAGGCCAGAGGUCAAACCUGCACCACAGCAGUGACCUGAGCCAUGGCAGGGACAAUGCCAGAUCUUUAACCACCAGGCCACCAUCCUAAAUGAUCUUUUUCAUUAAGGUAAAUGUUUACAGCCAUGGUUUAUUAUUUUUCCCCUAAAAAUUGUCUUCAUUCACAAUGUAAAAUGGAGAAUCAGAUGAAAUGAAAAAUAAAUGUAUAUAUGAGUUCUAGCACAGGGAAACUUUAUGAAAAAUAUUACCGCAGGAUAACUGGUUCAUGUUUUUGGGUACGUAUGCAUCAGGUAAAGAUUAAACAGGUAAAUAAAGCUUUUCCAUUGAAAAUAUUGACAUACUCUUGUCUUCUGACACACUCAAAAUAACUUUCAUAUGAAUAAAAGUGAGGUAAAUUCUCACCUAUUCUAUAGCUCAGCAUGAUAAUUUUUUAAAGCUAGAGAGAAAGCUGAUAGGUAUUUCUUUAGCCUCACCUCAUUAUAUUUUCAGUUUAU
rnacentral:lncRNA from 1 species